rnacentral:lncRNA from 1 species
AAUUAUUCUCAGGCUUGCUCUGCUCUUGUUCCUACUUGUCCAGGUCCAUAAACCCAGGACUCACAGGAAGGGCCCCUCCCCUGGGAGCCAAGUUCGGAGGAUGGUGCCUAUGGCAGGAGGGAGUGGUCUAUGAGCCCCACGGCUGGAGGAUUCCCCUCCAUUCUUCAGUGGCAUUUCCCUUGACACUUGUUUCCUGCUCUCACUACAGACAUCUGAACCCUGAAGCUUAACCCCGCCUUGAAGCCAGGACAUGGUUACCUAAGUGUUCCAAGGGACAAAACUCGAGUGAGUAACAGUGAUGGUGGUGACUCUGUGGGCGUUCAUCUGAAUCAGGUGUGGAACUGAGCACCUUGUGGCAUCAUGGAUGUGACCCUGAGAUUCACCUUGGAGAAUAAGUCACAGCAUGAGCCUAUGGAGGAAGGGAAGAAGCCUCUGUCAAGUGGUGGUGUUCACUUUUGCAGUUCUCUAAUAAAAAUGAAUUUUCAA